AUUGAACGCUGGCGGCAUGCCUAACACAUGCAAGUCGAACGGGAACAGUCUUUUGGGUUCCGACGAGUGGCGGACGGGGGAGGAUUGUCACGGAACGCACCCAGAGGUGCGUUAUAGUGCAGCAAAAACUUUGGCAACCCAACGUGCUAGCUGAGCAUGCGUGCGGGAGACCGCCUGGCAACGUUCGCCCUUGCGCCGUUGGAUGGGCCGAUGUCGGAUUAGCUAGUUGGUGGGGUAAAGGCCUACCAAGGCGACGAUCCGUAGCUGGUCUGAGAGGAUGACCAGCCACACUGGGACUGAGACACGGCCCAGACUCCUACGGGAGGCAGCAGUGGGGAAUAUUGGACAAUGGGCGCAAGCCUGAUCCAGCAAUACCGCGUGAGGGAAGAAGGCCUUCGGGUUGUAAACCGCUUUUGGCAGGAAAGAAACGGUGUCCGCUAAUACCGGGCGGUAAUGACGGUACCCGCAGAAUAAGCACCGGCUAACUUCGUG
rnacentral:rRNA from 1 species